rnacentral:snoRNA from 1 species
AUGUCAUGGUGUAGAAACUCCCUCAAGAGACUUUUGAAUCUCUCUCAUGCUUCAUUUAGACUCUCACCUUCUUUAUCAUUCAAUAUUACAAUCUUAGCUCUCAUUUU